UUGCGGACUUCUUGGCUACGCGCGAACUGAGAAGCGCGAUAAUUAUUGUCUAGGGUGGUGAAUUCACUGUCAGUGAGCCGUUACCGCAAAGUAUUGGAAAUGAGAAUGAAUGUUUGAAGAAGAGACCGCCGAUGUUUGUAUACACCGAUCAAUGCGUCUACGCCUCGUGGAGUGUCGAGCAUCUGUAGUAUCCAAAGAGCAUGUUUCCAGUAUAGUAGCGGUUCAUCUUUACUGACUCAGCCAGUCAGUCAUAUUUAUUUAGCUUGGCUCUUUGUGGCCAUUUAUUAUGUAGAGCUCGCUUUUCAAAACGCUACGCACGCACAAUAAGAAAUUGAAAACUCACACACCGCACAACUAUUCCUGGGGCAUUCGUGGCCAGACGCGUAAACGUGACAAGUUGUUGAGUUCAGACGAACGGAUGAAUGAACUCGGUACUCCGUUUCAACUUUACUGGAUUGACUGGAAUAUAAUGAGUUGCUCAACGUUUUCGGACUCGAAUUAUUACUGCAGGCUUUCAUGAGAAUUCUGGAAUACUGGAAUCGUGAUGGAAUUAGACAAGUAGCCGUAGUGAAAGACCGAAGCACCAGAAUAUUUCGAGAGUUUUUGCAGCAUAGGCCACUAUGAAAGUGCUUAUUAUAUCUCAACUGUCUAAACACUAAAAUGACUGUGCACCCUUUAAUCAUCACCAGAACCAUUGAGACCAAGUUACGAGCAGCUGGCUGCGUAAGAAGUAAAUUGGUUGCAUUUGACUUCGUUUCCUGUUGCAGUCACUGAAUUGUCUAACAAGCCGUUAUGACUCCGCGAUGCCAAUCCUCGUGACCCCAAAGACUGGAUAUUGCCAUUUGAAGAAGAUAGCCGAGAGGAUUUUUGUGUAUUUUGGACAUGGAUUCGACUCGAGGAGGAUAAGAUAGCAUCGAAACAAUGUCUCCAUUCCCCGACAAGUGCCUUGUGGAACUGUAAAAUUAGCACAUGUUUAUUUUCUCCUUGUAAGUAAAUUUGUUAGUUCGAGAAGUUGGUUUUUUCGUAAAUAAAUCAUGUAAAACAA